rnacentral:rRNA from 1 species
UUAACACAUGCAAGUCGAACGAUGAUCCCAGCUUGCUGGGGGAUUAGUGGCGAACGGGUGAGUAACACGUGAGUAACCUGCCCUUAACUCUGGGAUAAGCCUGGGAAACUGGGUCUAAUACCGGAUAUGACUCCUCAUCGCAUGGUGGGGGGUGGAAAGCUUUAUUGUGGUUUUGGAUGGACUCGCGGCCUAUCAGCUUGUUGGUGAGGUAAUGGCUCACCAAGGCGACGACGGGUAGCCGGCCUGAGAGGGUGACCGGCCACACUGGGACUGAGACACGGCCCAGACUCCUACGGGAGGCAGCAGUGGGGAAUAUUGCACAAUGGGCGAAAGCCUGAUGCAGCGACGCCGCGUGAGGGAUGACGGCCUUCGGGUUGUAAACCUCUUUCAGUAGGGAAGAAGCGAAAGUGACGGUACCUGCAGAAGAAGCGCCGGCUAACUACGUGCCAGCAGCCGCGGUAAUACGUAGGGCGCAAGCGUUAUCCGGAAUUAUUGGGCCGUAAAGAGCUCGUAGGCGGUUUGUCGCGUCUGCCGUGAAAGUCCGGGGCUCAACUCCGGAUCUGCGGUGGGUACCGGCAGACUAGAAUGAUGUAGGGGAGACUGGAAUU